rnacentral:rRNA from 1 species
GACGAACGCUGGCGGCGCGCUUAACACAUGCAAGUCGAACGGAAAGGCCUGCUUUCCCUUGUGGAUUGCGGGUACUCGAGUGGCGAACGGGUGAGUAACACGUGAGUGAUCUGCCCCCAACUUGGGUAUAAGCCUGGGAAACUGGGUCUAAUUCCCGAUAGGACUGCAGGGUGGUGCCUGUGGUGGAAAACGAUUUUCUAGUGGUUGGGGAUGAGCUCGCGGCCUAUCAGCUUGUUGGUGGGGUAAUGGCCUACCAAGGCGGCGACGGGUAGCCGGCCUGAGAGGGGGGAGGGCAAAAUUGGGAAGGGGAAACGGCCAAGACUCCAAGGGGGGGCAGAGGGGGGGAAUAUGGAAAAAUGGGGGGAAGCCUGAGGCAGGGAAGCCGGGGGGGGGAGGAGGGCCUUGGGGUGGUAAACCCCUUUCGACCGGGAGGAAGACAACUGGUUGGAAGGGGGGGGAGGGUGGGGGGAAAAGAAGCACCGGCUAACUACGU